CGAAGAUGUUCCGGAAGAGGCGCCAGUCCACGGCCUUCCGCGAGCGGAUCCAGCCCACGGCCACCACGGAGCCCACCUGCAGAAGCAUGAGCGGCUCAGAGUCAACAGAGGCCCACACGUUGAAAGCAACAGCGUCAUCGAAUGCUGGAGCUGGAGGCCGCCGCGAUCUGUAAUCCAUCCAUGCUGCUCAUCUCACAGAGGAUAAAACAUCACUGGAGAGUUUAGGGGCACGAGGAGCCCGCAAAUCAUGGCAGCAGAGGGCAAGAACUGGGGCCUCUUGAUUUUUUUUCUCCACUAUCUCCGCCUACCCUGUAGUCCUUGUCUUUCAGCUGAUUUAAAAAAAUAUAAUCAAACAGAACAUUGA